rnacentral:rRNA from 1 species
CGGGACGGGUGAGUAAUGUCUGGGAAACUGCCCGAUGGAGGGGGAUAACUACUGGAAACGGUAGCUAAUACCGCAUAACGUCGCAAGACCAAAGAGGGGGACCUUCGGGCCUCUUGCCAUCGGAUGUGCCCAGAUGGGAUUAGCUAGUAGGUGGGGUAACAGCUCACCUAGGCGACGAUCCCUAGCUGGUCUGAGAGGAUGACCAGCCACACUGGAACUGAGACACGGUCCAG